AAAUAAGCAGCUAAAGAGCAAUUAAUUUCGACUUAAUCAAUUGGAUAAUAAUUAUCCCUUAUUUA
rnacentral:tRNA from 1 species